GUUGGCAUAAUCGCCUUAGAAAUGACCUUAAGGCAGAGAUAUACGAUAUAUAUAUAUUUCUGAUAGCUGCUAUAGGACGGAAACGAAAAUGACUAACCUGAAGCAAAACAAGAUAUCUAGACUUAGUACGACCGUAGCAUCCGCGACAUGUUCGUUAUGCCCUACAAUAGGUGGAUACUGAUGAAAAUGUGCUAAAAAAAAAAAAAAUACGCCCCAGCCGAAGGCACGAGAUAAGAAUGGCAUGCACUGACCACGGUGAGUUUACAUACUUUGAAGUACUCAGCAAAGAUUUGAAGGCAAGGCAGUUAUGCUGAAAAUCGCCCGACA
rnacentral:lncRNA from 1 species